GAUGAACGCUGGCGGCGUGCCUAAUACAUGCAAGUCGAGCGAACAGACGAGGAGUUUGCUCCUCUGACGUUAGCGGCGGACGGGUGAGUAACACGUGGAUAACCUACCUAUAAGACUGGGAUAACUUCGGGAAACUGGAGUUAAUACCGGAUAAUAUAUUGAACGGCAUGGUUCAAUAGUGAAAGACGGUUAUGCUGUCACUUAUAGAUGGAUCCGCGCCGCAUUAGCUAGUUGGUAAGGUAACGGCUUACGAAGGCAACGAUGCGUAGCCGACCUGAGAGCGUGAUCGGCCACACUGGAACUGAGCCACGGUCCAGACUCCUACGGGAGGCCGCAGUAUCGAAUCUUCCGCAAUGGGCGAAAGCCUGACGGAGCAACGCCGCGUGAGUGAUGAAGGUCUUCGGAUCGUAAAACUCUGUUAUUAGGGAAGACCAAAUGUGUAAGUAACUAUGCCCUUCUUGACGGUACCUAAUCAGAAAGCCACGGCUAACUACGUG
rnacentral:rRNA from 1 species